AUGAAGUCAAUCUCCCAGCCUCCAUCCUCCCUCCCCUGUGUGGAGCUUGCUGGUCUGAGACUCAGAGCUGCCAUCCUGGAUCUCACCACCAGCUCUUCAUGCCAGCGGUCAAGCUCAAAUCAGGUGCCUGAAGGGGGCAGGUUCUGAGUGUCUGUGUCCUGAUGGCUGCUGAAGCUUCUACUCCAGAUUCAAGGGCAUCCAUCCUCAGGAGACCCCAAAACUUCACAUACUGGAUGGGAUAUGAAUCCUGACUCAAGUGAGUUCAUUGGUGUGAACAAAAGCAUGUUGCGGAGUAGCUCCUUUGAGGUUAACGA
rnacentral:lncRNA from 1 species